rnacentral:rRNA from 1 species
GAUGAACGCUAGUGGCAGGCUUAACACUGUUAUUUUUUUGAAUCUGCUCAGAACGAACGCUGGCGGCAGGCUUAACACGUGCAAGUCGAGCGAGACCUUCGGGUCUAGCGGCGGACGGGUUAGUAACGCGUGGGAACGUGCCCUUCACUACGGUAUAGUCCCGGGAAACUGGGUUUAAUACAGUAUACGCCGUUCGGGGGAAAGAAUUUCGGUGAGGGAUCGGCCCGCGUUAGAUGAGAUAGUUGGUGGGGUAAUGGCCUACCACGUCUACGAUCUAUAGCUGGUUUUAGUGGAUGAUCAGCAACACUGGGACUGAGACACGGCCCAGACUCGUACGGGAGGCAGCAGUGGGGAAUCUUGGACAAUGGGCGCAAGCGUGAUCCAGCCAUGCCGCGUGAGUGAUGAAGGCCCUAGGGUCGUAAAGCUCUUUCGCCUGUGAUGAUAAUGACAGUAGCAGGUAAAGAAACCCCGGCUAACUCCGUGCCAGCAGCCGCGGUAAUACGGAGGGGGUUAGCGUUGUUCGGAAUUACUGGGCGUAAAGCGCACGUAGGCGGAUUAGUAAGUCAGAGGUGAAAUCCCGGGGCUCAACCCCGGAACUGCCUUUAAUACUGCUAGUCUUGAGUUCGAGAGAGGUGAGUGGAAUUCCGAGUGUAGAGGUGAAAUUCGUAGAUAUUCGGAGGAACACCAGUGGCGAAGGCGGC